UACGAAGGGGGGCUAGCGUUGUUCGGAUUUACUGGGCGUAAAGCGCACGUAGGCGGAUCUUUAAGUCAGAGGUGAAAUCCCAAGGCUCAACCUUGGAACUGCCUUUGAUACUGGGGAUCUCGAGUUCGGGAGAGGUGAGUGGAACUGCGAGUGUAGAGGUGAAAUUCGUAGAUAUUCGCAAGACACCAGUGGCGAAGGCGGCUCACUGGCCCGAUACUGACGCUGAGGUGCGAAAGCGUGGGGAGCGAAACAGG
rnacentral:rRNA from 1 species